UAAAAGAAAACAGAAGUGUGGGCAAGUAUUUGUUGUGCUGUGUGCAGAAUGAACGCUUGUCUGUUGUUUCCUCUUUUAAUAACGGUGAAAUGACGGAGUUCGUUAUGAAGUCCCCGGCUAUAUUUGUGCCAGCACCCGUGAUUUUAUGGAGGGGGGCAGCGUUGUACGGAAUUUCUGGGCGUUAAGCGCGCGCAUGGGGAUUAAUAAGUUGGUGGUGAGAUCCCGAAGUUCAACCCUGGAACUGCCUUCUUACUGUCAAUCGAUAGUUCGUGAUAGGUGAGUGGAGUUCUCACGGUGUAGGUGAAAUUCGUGUAUAUUUGGAGAAAUGCACUGGGUAACGCGGCUCACUGGUUGCAAACUGACACUGUUGUGCAAAAGUGUGGGGAGCGAACAGGAAUAUAUACCCUGGUAUACCAAUUGCGAUAAACAAUAAGUGCUCUACCCUAUGCGAGAAUACCUUCCUGUGACUGUCUAACCAAUUAAUUAUUCCUCCUGCGGAGUAAGGUCGCACGCUUAAAAC
rnacentral:rRNA from 1 species